rnacentral:rRNA from 1 species
UCAGGUGGUUAUUGCGGCGGGGUUCCACCUCUUCCCAUUCCGAACAGAGAAGUUAAGCCCGCUUGCGCCGAUGGUACUGCGAUGCAAUGCGGGAGAGUAGGAGGCCGCCUCUU